rfam:Triticum urartu cultivar G1812 contig829586, whole genome shotgun sequence.
AUAAUACUCCCUCCGUCCGAAAAUACUUGUCAUUAAAAUGGACAAAAAGGAAUGUAUUUAAAACUAAAUGCAUCUAGAUACAUCCCGUUUUAUUCAUUUUGAUGACAAGUAUUUUCGGACGAAGAGAGUAUGAA